rnacentral:rRNA from 1 species
GACGAACGCUGGCGGCGUGCUUAACACAUGCAAGUCGAACGAAGUGGCGAACGGGGGAGUAAUACGUGAGUACCCUGCCCUCCUUUUUGGGAUAAGCCUUGGAAACGGGGUCUAAUACCGAAUAAAGGGGGAUGGGCUCGCGGGCUAGCAGCUUGUUGGUGGGGUUAUGGCCUACCAAGGCGGUGACGGGUAGCCGGCCUGAGAGGGUGACCGGCGACAUUGGGACGGGGAUACGGCCCAGACUCAUACGGGAGGAAGCAGUGGGGGAUAUUGCACAAUGGGCGAAAAGCUGAUGCAGCGACGCCGCGUGGGGGAUGAAGGCUUUCGGGUUGUAAACCUCUUUCGCUAUCGAAGGGGUAGGUGGCGAAGAAGCGCCGGCUAACUACGUGCCAGCAGCCGCGGUAAUAC